rnacentral:tRNA from 1 species
GUCAUUGGAUAGCUCAGUUGGUUAGAGUGUGGUGCUGAUAACGCCAAAGUUGCAGGUUCGAUCCCCAUAUAGGACA